rnacentral:rRNA from 1 species
CGGGCUCAACCUGGGAACUGCAUCUGAUACUGGCAAGCUUGAGUCUCGUAGAGGGGGGUAGAAUUCCAGGUGUAGCGGUGAAAUGCGUAGAGAUCUGGAGGAAUACCGGUGGCGAAGGCGGCCCCCUGGACGAAGACUGACGCUCAGGUGCGAAAGCGUGGGGAGCAAACAGGAUUAGAUACCCUGGUAGUCCACGCCGUAAACGAUGUCGACUUGGAGGUUGUGCCCUUGAGGCGUGGCUUCCGGAGCUAACGCGUUAAGUCGACCGCCUGGGGAGUACGGCCGCAAGGUUAAAACUCAAAUGAAUUGACGGGGGCCCGCACAAGCGGUGGAGCAUGUGGUUUAAUUCGAUGCAACGCGAAGAACCUUACCUGGUCUUGACAUCCACGGAAGUUUUCAGAGAUGAGAAUGUGCCUUCGGGAAC